rnacentral:lncRNA from 1 species
UCAGAUCUGGUGUAUCUGCUGCUUGUUCUGAUUUCUGCUGUUUGCUGUCUGAUUUGGGCUGUGAUUUGGGCAGAUUAUCUGGUGAUCUGGGCAAAUCACUCUCUGUUGUGCCUGUCUGCCCCAGUGAUUUGGGCAGAUCGUUUGGUGAUUUGGGCAAAUCACCCGCCACCAGCUGUGAACAGUACUCCAUCUGGUCUGUAUCAGUGUUGCUGUCCACUUCUUCCCUCCUACAAAGACCUUCAUAAAGUAAGUUUUCUUGAUCAUAAUCAGAAAUUUCUUGACUUAAAUCAUCAAUAACAUCAAGGCCAUAAACAUGAGAAACAUCAUUGGGAAAUUUCAUGGCAUCAUAAACAUUAAAUUUGAUAAUUUCCCCUUCAAA